rnacentral:rRNA from 1 species
CCUACGGGAGGCAGCAGUGGGGAAUUUUGGACAAUGGGCGCAAGCCUGAUCCAGCAAUGCCGCGUGAGUGAAGAAGGCCUUCGGGUUGUAAAGCUCUUUUGUCAGGGAAGAAACGGCUGAGGUUAAUACCUUCGGCUAAUGACGGUACCUGAAGAAUAAGCACCGGCUAACUACGUGCCAGCAGCCGCGGUAAUACGUAGGGUGCAAGCGUUAAUCGGAAUUACUGGGCGUAAAGCGUGCGCAGGCGGUUUUGUAAGUCUGACGUGAAAUCCCCGGGCUCAACCUGGGAAUUGCGUUGGAGACUGCAAGGCUGGAGUCUGGCAGAGGGGGGUAGAAUUCCACGUGUAGCAGUGAAAUGCGUAGAGAUGUGGAGGAACACCGAUGGCGAAGGCAGCCCCCUGGGUCAAGACUGACGCUCAUGCACGAAAGCGUGGGGAGCAAACAGGAUUAGAUACCCUGGUAGUCCACGCCCUAAACGAUGUCUACUAGUUGUCGGGUCUUAAUUGACUUGGUAACGCAGCUAACGCGUGAAGUAGACCGCCUGGGGAAUACGGUCGCAAGNUUAAAACUCAAAGGAAUUGACCGGNNGAGAGNGCGAGACGACGACGAGGAGAGG